UACGUAGGGUGCAAGCGUUGUCCGGAAUUACUGGGCGUAAAGGGCUCGUAGGUGGCCAACUAAGUCAUACGUGAAAUCCCUCGGCUUAACCGGGGAACUGCGUCUGAUACUGGAUGGCUUGAGGUUGGGAGAGGGAUGCGGAAUUCCAGGUGUAGCGGUGAAAUGCGUAGAUAUCUGGAGGAACACCGGUGGCGAAGGCGGCAUCCUGGACCAAUUCUGACACUGAGGAGCGAAAGCCAGGGGAGCAAACGGG
rnacentral:rRNA from 1 species